rnacentral:rRNA from 2 species
UCACCCUGAACGGUGGAUCACUUGGCUCGUGGGUCGAU